rnacentral:misc_RNA from 1 species
GCUAAAUUCAUAUGCAAGGAGGUUAGUGUUAUGAGAUGUCAUCAUGUUAGAUAACUUAAAAAAUACUUUCUAAUGCUCUCUGGGGAUUGCUAUUAAUUUUCAUAAUAUAUAAAACAUAUAUAUGUGCAAGCAAACAGAUGGAAACCUUUGAAUCUGCUGUGAUACCAUAACAUGAUUAUUCAGCCAUAAGGUCCUGGACCAUAGUGAACUCAAGAACGGGCUUCAUAGUAAUCAGAUAUAUGGUUUUGUAGUAAUCGAGUCUAGUUAUGCCUUAUCCAAAUUGGAUAAGUUUCAGAACAUUAAUCUUGUCAUCAUUUCUUCAUGGUGCAGAUAGUUCAAAU